AAAACUAUACUUUUAAUUGAAUAAGUAAGAGUGAAAACCCCCACACCUGCAGAAGUGACUCAAAUGUUAGUAAAGUAACUCGUAGUUUGACCAUGAAGUGACCAAAACAUUAUUACCACAGAAUCUGAAAUUCAAAAGGCAGCUGGUGAAGAACGGACUGUUUGUGUUCUCCUGGAAUUAUUUAGAUAAAGUCAGUCAAUAUAGAAUCUGUGUUUUUUUUUUUAAAUAACAUUUUGUUUAUGAUGCUCAGCUAAAGGAAACAAUACUGCACCAGCAUUGUCACUUAAGUCAAUUUUAAAGGGGACAUAUAAUGAAAAACUCUCAUUUUCAGUCAUGGUGCACAAACAUUUGAGUAUCUGGAGGGCUGACCAACCCAAAACCUGAAAUAAAACAACCCAGCCAGUUAUUUGUGGGCGUCCUCGAUCAGAAAACAUGUUAUUGAUUACUGGCCUGCGCACUGCAGCGAUUGUUUCGACGUCUCCUCUAUUUCUUUGGCGAGCUGCGAGCAAAUGUGUCAAGCCAGGAAGGUAACCAUAUACAGGAAGGCCACAGCUCAGCCGCAUGCUUUACAAAAUGGAACAAAUUUCAAAAUAAAACACCCGUUUUAUGCAUUACAAUAUGU